rnacentral:tRNA from 3 species
GCCUCCUUAGCUCAGUUGGCUAGAGCGCUUGACUUGUAAUCUUGAGGUCGUCGGUUCGACUCCGACAGGAGGCUCCA